rnacentral:rRNA from 1 species
UAUAACAUGAGAGUUUGAUCCUGGCUCAGGAUGAACGCUGGCGGCGUGCUUAACACAUGCAAGUCGAACGAAGCACCUGGUCACGAUCCCUUCGGGGUGACGACCUUGUGACUGAGUGGCGGACGGGUGAGUAACGCGUGGGAAAC